CUAAGUGUUGUAUCCCUAGUCCUCUGUGAAAAUAUUUGUACACUUUUUUUAAUCUCCCAAAAAAGAAAUAGAAUAUACGAUUUUCUAAUUUAGUCAAUAAAAACAAAGAUAGAUGGUACAAAUCUAUCUGAAUUAUCUAUGAAGAAAAAUACAAAUGAAUUCUUUUUUUAAGGUGUUAUUACCUAAAUACAAGUUCCAUCCAUUUAAUUCGGGUUGUUUGACGGUGUUUUUUAAUGUUGGCAGACGAUCUUCCACGAAAUAUAAAUAAAAAUAUGAAUGAACCUGAAUAUUUCCUCUUACAAAUUCAUUAUUUGGAUCCAAUUGCAAGGCUGCAUUAAACCUAAAAUUAAUAUGAGUUUAUUAAAGAUACAUGCGUGCCUAGUUUUAUUUUUAUUUAUAAAGACUGAGAGAAGAAAUAGCAAUGCACUUCCAUUUAUUUAUUUCUUUAUAUUACAACAUUGUAUAUUGAAUUUUCUUUCUUAUUAAGACAUUGUAGUUUGGAAAAUCUACUCACUUCAUAAUUACAAACCUUUCAUAAAUCCGUCAUCAAUAGCAUCCCUCUAGUUCCCUUGAGCAUAAUAAAUAAACCCUGAUAAUAGGUGCUCUAUCAAAACUUCAAAAUAGAGCAACAUACUCUUUUAAAUAAACUGUAGUCAUUCCAUCCAGCUCCACAUUCUAGUUUUCUUAAAUAAGAAUUUGUAAUUUUAGUAAAAUCCCAAAGUAAAAGAAAUCUUCAUCAUACUGUGAUAAUGUAAACGCAAACACAUUUACACACACAUAAAGAGAUAGAGGGAAAACGCUUACAAAAUGAACCCCAAUGACACUCAUGUAACAAUCAAUAUAAGAAUCAUCCUGAAGAAUAACUGUAUUUAGGCAUAAAUUGUGUGUAGCCUAAAUAGAUGAACUACAUUUCCAAUUAUGUUAUUGAACAUUCAAUAUUAAGAUGGAAGUAACUCUAAAAGAAAAGUUAAAUCAACUAAGCCCAACUAUAUGGGCUUUUUCUUGUAGGAAAUGCGAAAUCCUACAGGCAAAAAAUGGUAAUGAUCCUAAUCAAGGAAAUCGAAUAAAUUACUAUUAAUUUUAAUAGUGAAGUAGAUGAUAAAAUUAUGCAAAUAGUUUCAUCGUUUAAGCUUUCUCACCCUGCUCCCGAGUUAUAGCAAAGAAAAGAAAAGAAGAGAAAAGAAAGUAAGGAGAGAAAAGAAAAAAAAAGAAACGAAAAAGAAAUUGUCAUUUGUGCUCCCGAAUUAGAGAGAAAUGGAAGGAAAGUUAAACAUUUUGUUUUUUCUUUUCAAAUCCUCCAAACCGGGAGGAAAGAUAGGAGGAAAAGUUUUCCUUCCACUUUCUUCCUUUAAUAAAACUCGGGAGCACCAUUCUAUCUUGCUUUCCUCUCAUUUCCUCUAAUUUCCUUUCUUUUCUCUCGUUGAACUUGGAGCGGGGUGUAAGUGAAUUCCCUCUUUUUGGAUGCUCACAUAUUCUGUAAUUUCUCAAAACCGCAACAGCGAAGGCGACAUACCUUCUUCAAUCUUCAUCAUCGGCUGUUGGAGCAGCUCCAAAAUAAUCCACAGAGAAAAGGAAAACAAUUCUAAAAUAUUUCCAAAGCAGGUCAAGAACCCUAAUUUCAUCAAAGAAUCAAUUAAGAGGAUGAAGAAAAUCGAUUACUCAAAGAAACUGAGUAAAAAACUUACCUGAAUGAACAACGUUAAUUGGAGGACCGGUGCUUUUGUGUAUUUGGAUGUAUCAACUAACCUGCAAUUUUGGAACUCGGAAAGAUGAGAAACCGUUGCUGAAGUUUGGAAGCAAUCGAGGAUGGCCCUAAAUCGAAAUAAAACACAAAAAUGAAACAGAGACAAAAUUAAACAGUGAACAGGUGAAGAAGAAAGCAAGAACUGGAAAACAUAGAUUGGUGGUGACCGAAGCAACCCAUUGAGGAAAAUAGCGGCAAACGUUUGGAACGUAACACGUAUAAUUCGAAGUCAGAAGACAUUUAGUCAACAGGACCUCCAAAUAUCACAGCCCAUGAAAAAUCGUCGGUGGGAAGAAAUCUAGUAAAACACAGGACCAGAAACGACAAGUCUCAAAAAUACGGUGGCAAAUUUCUAUACUAUAAUGUUCCACAACAACAUGAGAAUUAAUUAUAUGUAUAAUGGCCAAAUGGGUACACUUGUAAGAAGCGCCGUAUGCAGUCAGUCGGUGUUCUCUCCCCCGUGAACAAAGAUACCAUCAAAUUAUCUCUCUCUCUCAAUAAAUCAACUUGUUUAACUAAUACUCAUACAUGCAUCGUCUCCCAACCAUACCCCACCACAUACACCAAUUAAAAGAAAUGUUGGAGGCAAGACAUGUGAUCUUUUGUCCCUUUUUACUCCCAAUCCACCAUAAAAUAUGUACGAUCACGUCUCUUGGUUUCAUAAUUUUGUA
rnacentral:lncRNA from 1 species